rnacentral:miRNA from 1 species
GCAGACACAUUCCAGCCAAUCAGCAGCAAACCCUCCCUCCCAGACCCUCCCACCUCCUGGACAGCAUCCUUUUUACAUUCAUUGUGAAGCUGCAUUCUUAGUGAGCUGUCCAGGAGUGGGAGGGCCUGGGAAGGAGGGUCUGCUGCUGAUUGGCUGGAAUGUGUCUG